GAGGAGCGGCAGACGGGUGAGUAACGCGUGGGAAUCUACCCAUCCCUACGGAACAACUCCGGGAAACUGGAGCUAAUACCGUAUACGCCCUUCGGGGGAAAGAUUUAUCGGGGAUGGAUGAGCCCGCGUUGGAUUAGCUAGUUGGUGGGGUAAAGGCCUACCAAGGCGACGAUCCAUAGCUGGUCUGAGAGGAUGAUCAGCCACAUUGGGACUGAGACACGGCCCAAACUCCUACGGGAGGCAGCAGUGGGGAAUAUUGGACAAUGGGCGCAAGCCUGAUCCAGCCAUGCCGCGUGAGUGAUGAAGGUCUUAGGAUUGUAAAGCUCUUUCACCGGAGAAGAUAAUGACGGUAUCCGGAGAAGAAGCCCCGGCUAACUUCGUGCCAGCAGCCGCGGUAAUACGAAGGGGGCUAGCGUUGUUCGGAAUUACUGGGCGUAAAGCGCACGUAGGCGGAUAUUUAAGUCAGGGGUGAAAUCCCAGAGCUCAACUCUGGAACUGCCUUUGAUACUGGGUAUCUUGAGUAUGAAAGAGGUAAGUGGAAUUGCGAGUGUAGAGGUGAAAUUCGUAGAUAUUCGCAGGAACACCAGUGGCGAAGGCGGCUUACUGGUCCAUUACUGACGC
rnacentral:rRNA from 1 species